AUUACAAUCAAGCAUAAGUUGAAAAGAUACCUAUCAAAAUCACCAUGGAAAAAAACAAUGACGACAAUAAAUAAAGGCAAUAGUAGUAUACCGCUGUUCAAAACUCGUAAAUCAAUGGACAAAAAACCAAAUCGGGGUAACAAACUAAAACUGAGGGAAACGCAUUAAAUAUAAGAGGAGAACAACGACACAACAUUAAAAUGUAACACACACAGAAACGGACUAAGCAUUAGACACAAUAAGAUAAACAUAAGUAUACGUACAACUAAACAGCAAAGGAAAGACUUACCACUUCGAACUCGACCAAAUACCGGG
rnacentral:lncRNA from 1 species